UGCUUCCUCCUCUCUCUCUGCCUGCCUCUCUGCCUACUUGUGAUUUCUGUCUGUCAAAUAAAUAAAUAAAAUCUUUUAAAAAAUGCAGCAUACUCAAUAUGCAUGUAAAUUGUUAUGACAUACGACUUUUAAUAUCUUCUUUUUCUAUAUUUCUCAUUUUAAUAACUGCUUAAUAUUACACUAAUAGAUAUGUGGUAGCCUUGUUGGGAGACUUUUUCUCCUUCUCUAUAACAUACAACAAAAUCUCAUUUUUCUUUUUUUUGCUUGCUUGUUUUUGAGAAACUGUCAGAAUUAGAAUUUUUAGAUAAAAGAAUCUGAUGAUUUUAUGGUUAUUACUACAUAUUACCAGACAACUUUCCAGAAACCAUACCCAUUUAUACUGCCACUAUAUACUUCUCCCUAUAACUUUGCAAGCAUUGUGAUUUAUAAUUUUUAUAAAUUUAAUAUGUAUAAAGUAAUGACUUAUAAUUGUUUUAAUUGGCAUUUUAAGUGCUGUUUUUACUGAACAAAUCACUAUUUGUCUUUUCUGUGAAUUUUCUGCCCAUAUACUUUGCCAUAUGACUACCACACAGGCUUUUCAACCAUAUCCCCCACAACAGUUUAAAAUUAUGAUCAUAUAGGGGUGCCUGGGUGGCUCAGUCUAUUAGGCGUCUGACUUUUGACCUCAGCUCAGGUCUUGAUCUCAGGGUUGUGGGUUCGAGCCCUAUGCUGGGCAUAGAAGUGACUUAAAGAAAAUAGAACUUAAAAAAAAUAAAAUUAUGAUCAUAUAGUAUUUUCUUUGAACAAAUACAGUGAUUUUAUUGGAAGAAAGGCAGAUAAUUGUGACAUUCUAGAUAGCUAGAAUGUUUUUUUCAUAGAGGUAAUGCAGAUCCCAACUGUGAGCUCACAGAGAAUGUCAACAAACAGGCACGCCAAGAAAUGAGGGCCUGGCCUGGAGGUGGGGGUGGGGGUGCGGUGUGGGUUCCAAGAUAAAGGUGUUCAGCUCACCUUGUGGUCUUUGCCCACAAACUUGAAGACUGGGACCUGGAAGUGCUUUGCUAGGUGGUCCCGGGCCGUGUACUGCUUCACGGAGUCAUCUGAAACACAACUAACAGCAGGACAGGAGAACACGUAAGACUUGAUGGCUUCAGCAGAGAUGGAAAAACAAUCUGGUCCAAUGUGUUUAGUCCAAAGAAAUGCUGACUGGGUGGAGGAGGCUGGGCUGCACUCAAGUUUUUUGAGAAUGAAGGAAAAAUGAAAUUUCUUCCCUGCAAAGGCGUCUUCAGCCCUGCUCAUGAACACCAUCUGUCCCAUCUCUCAUUCUCUGUACCCACGAACUGGGCACGAGGACCUCUCGAUACGUCAAUAUAUUGAAGCAGGAGCAACAGCAACCACAUUUCUUUCAAAGAUACCUUUUGAAAUGAAGAUAUCUCUGCAAGGCUGUAUUUUCAUUUGUAAUACAUCACAGGAAUUCUGCAUUCACAUACUUGAUGAUUGGUUUGAGAUUUCAGAAAUAUUUAUUGGGCACCUAAUACACACUAGCCCCCAACGAGGGUUCAAAGGUGAGCAAGCCUCAAUGUGUGCAACACUGAGCUGCAUAAAGAUUUAAGAUUCAGAUUUAAGUUUCAGAGAGAGUAACUGGUUCUACUGGGAAGGUUCAGUCUCCUCCCAAUUGCUGAACUUCAUUUUUCCCCCACAUUUAAUGCAGAGUUGUAGUUUGAUAGGGUCUUGGGGUUUCCAUCUCAGGUCUACUGCUUAAACUGAAAGUCCUAGGCUCACCUCAAGGUUAGCUGGGGAAAAGAAGUCUUACUUGUUCUCAAUUUUGAGACCAAGGUUUAGUAUUUGAUGAACAUUUUCUCCUGAGAGGACAGGGAUUACACUUGUAUCGUCUUUCCCACUGUGAAUUUUAAAAGAACUUUAAAUUCUGGGUGUAUUUUCCUUUUUCUGGAUACCUAUUAGUUCUUGUCUACCAGUCCGGGAAAAAAAAAAAAAAAUGUGGGGACCAGAAAGAAAAGUCUAUGAAACUGGAUCCUUGCUUCGCGUGCUUACACACCACUUUCUAGUUCAUUGCUAAGUACUGUUUCAGUGCAGUUCAAAAAACCCAAUAAAACUGU